CAACACACAAAACAAGCGGUGAAUGCUUUGGGGUGGGGUGACUGCGUACCUUUUGUAUAAUGGGUCAGCGACUUAUAUUCUGUAGCAAGGUUAACCGAAUAGGGGAGCCGGAGGGAAACCGAGUCUUAAUUGGGCGUUAAGUUGCAGGGUAUAGACCCGAAACCCGGUGAUCUAGCCAUGGGCAGGUUGAAGGUUGGGUAACACUAACUGGAGGACCGAACCGACUAAUGUUGAAAAAUUAGCGGAUGACCUGUGGCUGGGGGUGAAAGGCCAAUCAAACCGGGAGAUAGCUGGUUCUCCCCGAAAGCUAUUUAGGUAGCGCCUCGUGAAUUCAUCUCCGGGGGUAGAGCACUGUUUCGGCUAGGGGGCCAUCCCGGCUUACCAACCCGAUGCAAACUGCGAAUACCGGAGAAUGUUAUCACGGGAGACACACGGCGGGUGCUAACGUCCGUCGUGAAGAGGGAAACAACCCAGACCGCCAGCUAAGGUCCCAAAGUCAUGGUUAAGUGGGAAACGAUGUGGGAAGGCCCAGACAGCCAGGAUGUUGGCUUAGAAGCAGCCAUCAUUUAAAGAAAGCGUAAUAGCUCACUGGUCGAGUCGGCCUGCGCGGAAGAUGUAACGGGGCUAAACCAUGCACCGAAGCUGCGGCAGCGAACGUAUCACCCAAGACAACUUUACGGAGUUGACGAUUGACGGAGCGAAGCGACGUCAAAGCGUUCAUUAAAGUCGAGUUGGCUUAGGGAUACGUUCGUUGGGUAGGGGAGCGUUCUGUAAGCCUGUGAAGGUGUGUCGUGAGGCAUGCUGGAGGUAUCAGAAGUGCGAAUGCUGACAUAAGUAACGAUAAAGCGGGUGAAAAGCCCGCUCGCCGGAAGACCAAGGGUUCCUGUCCAACGUUAAUCGGGGCAGGGUGAGUCGACCCCUAAGGCGAGGCCGAAAGGCGUAGUCGAUGGGAAACGGGUUAAUAUUCCCGUACUUGGUGUUACUGCGAAGGGGGGACGGAGAAGGCUAUGUUGGCCGGGCGACGGUUGUCCCGGUUUAAGCGUGUAGGUGUGUGUUCCAGGUAAAUCCGGUUCACUUUAACACUGAGGCGUGACGACGAGGCACUACGGUGCUGAAGCAACAAAUGCCCUGCUUCCAGGAAAAGCCUCUAAGCAUCAGGUAACAUCAAAUCGUACCCCAAACCGACACAGGUGGUCAGGUAGAGAAUACCAAGGCGCUUGAGAGAACUCGGGUGAAGGAACUAGGCAAAAUGGUGCCGUAACUUCGGGAGAAGGCACGCUGACACGUAGGUGAAGUGAUUUACUCAUGGAGCUGAAGUCAGUCGAAGAUACCAGCUGGCUGCAACUGUUUAUUAAAAACACAGCACUGUGCAAACACGAAAGUGGACGUAUACGGUGUGACGCCUGCCCGGUGCCGGAAGGUUAAUUGAUGGGGUCAGCGCAAGCGAAGCUCCUGAUCGAAGCCCCGGUAAACGGCGGCCGUAACUAUAACGGUCCUAAGGUAGCGAAAUUCCUUGUCGGGUAAGUUCCGACCUGCACGAAUGGCGUAAUGAUGGCCAGGCUGUCUCCACCCGAGACUCAGUGAAAUUGAACUCGCUGUGAAGAUGCAGUGUACCCGCGGCAAGACGGAAAGACCCCGUGAACCUUUACUAUAGCUUGACACUGAACAUUGAGCCUUGAUGUGUAGGAUAGGUGGGAGGCUU
rnacentral:rRNA from 1 species